rnacentral:rRNA from 1 species
UACAGAGGGUGCAAGCGUUGUUCGGAAUUAUUGGGCGUAAAGGGCGCGUAGGCGGUGCUGUAAGUCUGUAGUGAAAUCUCUGGGCUCAACUCAGAGUCUGCUAUAGAAACUGCAGUGCUGGAGUGUGGGAGAGGUGAGUGGAAUUCCCGGUGUAGCGGUAGAAAUGCGUAGAUAGUCGGGAGGAACACCUGUGGCGAAAGCGGCUCACUGGACCACAACUGACGCUGAGGCGCGAAAGCUAGGGGAGCAAACAGG